CGUAGGUGGCAAGCGUUGUCCGGAAUUAUUGGGUGUAAAGGGUGCGUAGGCGGGAAUAUAAGUCGGAUGUGAAAUGCCCGGGCUCAACUCGGGAGCUGCAUUCGAAACUAUAUUCUUGAGUGAAGUAGAGGCAAGCGGAAUUCCUAGUGUAGCGGUGAAAUGCGUAGAUAUUAGGAGGAACACCAGUGGCGAAGGCGGCUUGCUGGGCUUUUACUGACGCUGAGGCACGAAAGCAUGGGGAGCAAACAGGAUUAGAUACCCUGGUAGUCCAUGCUGUAAACGAUGAAUGCUAGGUGUGGGGGGUCUGACCCCUUCCGUGCCGGAGUUAACACAAUAAGCAUUCCACCUGGGGAGUACGGCCGCAAGGUUG
rnacentral:rRNA from 1 species